rnacentral:rRNA from 1 species
CGGGAUAACACCUGGAAACAGAUGCUAAUACUGGAUAACAACAGAUGAUGCCUAUCAACUGUUUAAAAGAUGGUUCUGCUAUCACUCUUGGAUGGACCUGCGGUGCAUUAGCUAGUUGGUAGGGUAACGGCCUACCAGCGAUGAUGCAUAGCCGAGUUGAGAGACUGAUCGGCCACAUUGGGACUGAGACACGGCCCAAACUCCUACGGGAGGCAGCAGCC